rnacentral:rRNA from 1 species
AACGAACGCUGGCGGCAGGCCUAACACAUGCAAGUCGAGCGAGAUCUUCGGAUCUAGCGGCGGACGGGUGAGUAACGCGUGGGAAUAUGCCCUUUGGUACGGAAUAGCCUCGGGAAACUGGGAGUAAUACCGUAUGUGCCCUUCGGGGGAAAGAUUUAUCGCCAAAGGAUUAGCCCGCGUUGGAUUAGGUAGUUGGUGGGGUAAUGGCCUACCAAGCCUACGAUCCAUAGCUGGUUUGAGGGGAUGAUCAGCCACACUGGGACUGAGACACGGCCCAGACUCCUACGGGAGGCAGCAGUGGGGAAUCUUAGACAAUGGGGGAAACCCUGAUCUAGCCAUGCCGCGUGAUCGAUGAAGGCCUUAGGGUUGUAAAGAUCUUUCAGCUGGGAAGAUAAUGACGGUACCAGCAGAAGAAGCCCCGGCUAACUCCGUGCCAGCAGCCGCGGUAAUACGGAGGGGGCUAGCGUUGUUCGGAAUUACUGGGCGUAAAGCGCACGUAGGCGGAUUGGAAAGUUGGGGGUGAAAUCCCGGGGCUCAACCUCGGAACUGCCUCCAAAACUAUCAGUCUAGAGUUCGAGAGAGGUGAGUGGAAUUCCGAGUGUAGAGGUGAAAUUCGUAGAUAUUCGGAGGAACACCAGUGGCGAAGGCGGCUCACUGGCUCGAUACUGACGCUGAGGUGCGAAAGCGUGGGGAGCAAACA